rnacentral:lncRNA from 1 species
UCGUAUUUCGGCAGGUUCAGGUAGGUUUAUAGAUGAACCUCGUAUUCUGGAUGUGUAAGUGCUAUCCCCGUCGCCGGAAUCCUCGCCGCCGGCGAGUACCCGCCGGUCAAACGGCCGGCCGCCAUGGCCUUGAACCGGCCAAGGUCAAGUUGACUCAUGGUCUCACGCGUCAGUGACUGUGUAGCUCUUAGGUAAAUUGGUGUCUGUGAGAAACGGAUUAAGGGGCGAUUUUCGAGUUUUAGGUUUUCUGGAAUUGAUUUAAUUCGGCUGAUAACUUGGAAAAUGCGUAGUAAACUGUAGCAACAUGGUAAAAAUGCAAAACAUUUUUUUUGCUCUUUUAAAAAUUAUUUCUACACAAUAAAAAUAUUAAUGCAAGCAAAAUGACCAUUUUGCCCCUGCUAAAAUUAGGUGUUUGUUUAAUAAUGUUUAAAUAUUUUAAAACAAUUACUGCUCCUAAAAUUAUGAAAAAUUCACAGUAGCUUAGGUUUGGUAUGUUUGUAUCUCAGUAAAGGUCAAGUGACCAGAAAACAUAUCUAGAAUUUGUUAUGGUUUAUUUUCUGUGUUGUAGCUUUUAAACUGUUAAAAAUAAUCCUAACAGGGAAAAAUUAUGAAACUUGGUUCAAAAAUACUUUACAUGUCAUUCAUCAGUUUCGCAUCAUUUCAUGAUCAUAAGAGCUGUAUUCAUAUUUGCAUGCAUUUUAUCUUGUCUCACAUAAGUUUUGCAUUUAAGGAAAAUGCCAUUUGAAAUGUGGUUAAAAUGACCAAAAAUUCCAGGCUCGGUUUAGUUGAUAAAAUUGACACUUUAGAACAGUAUACUCUGUUUUUGGAUGUUUAUGCAUGUCCUUACUUAAUUUCACCUUAUUUGUGGCUUACCUUUGUAUUAAAAUGCUUAGGAAAUUAAUAUAACUUAAUUACCUUAGUUGUUUCUAAAAUUUAUAAUAACAGUAGAAAACCAAGUUAAAAUGUUACUUGCUGGUUGUAGCCCAGUUUAAACUUGUCAUGUUACUUAUGCUAAUUCACUUCAUGCUCCUUUCAUGAAAAGCAUCACAUGUCUUGUGUGUAAUUAAUAAAUUAAUUUUAGAGUAAAGUAAGUACUUCAGACCAAAAAUAUUUUCAGAACUAAUCAUCAUCUUGCAUAAUGUUUCUUAUUUUAGUUCUUUUAUGCACCUACUCAGUAAAUGACCGAUGUUUCUAAAUGUUAAGCAUUCAUGCUCACUUUCAUUGCAACAUGUCAUUCAUGUAGAUUCCGAGAACGUGGUGUACCAGCUCGUAGCAGAGGAGCCGCAGCACGAAGCCCAGGAAGAAGAGCAAGUCGAGCCGGUCUAAGGCCAAGAAACUGCUAACCCCUUUGAGCUACAAGGCAAUCCCCGGAGCAUAACCCCUAUUUUCAGUAUGCAAUGGUUAUUUAUCUAAUUAUUGUGCAUUAAAUUUCUAGGAGUUGAUUGAAACCUUAGAUGCAUGAUCCAUAGGUUCCCUGGUUUAUAUACUAGUAUGUGUAGGUUGUUAUCUUUGCCAUGCUGAAUAGAACUUGGUAGAAGUCGAGUGAUUUCCUCUCACUCACGAGAUAUAGGACCUUUUGAUACUUAUGCCAAGGUUAAUUGAGAAUGAAUCACAUGAGAAAGGAAAAAAUGGAGACCAGGUGGGGAAUUAUGUUGGUCUUAUGAACGAUGAGGAUAUGAGGAAUGGUACUUGGUGUCCCCGCCUAUGUCGAUUAAGGCCGAUUCGUUGUUGGCUCCUUGAUCAAGUUUUGAACGUACUAAUCACAUAGUGGUAUAGGGAACCCAGUAAAACCUAGUACUUGACUCGCGCCGGAAAUUUGAACUGUGGAGGGUUUGUAGUUGCCCACGGGACCCAAAGGCCUGCAACCUGGGGUAGCGCGUUGGGGACUCUCACCCGAGUUUGGCAGACACGGAUCAGAUCUUUAGGGCGAAGAUGGGAACCAUUGCCACGUAUGACCUUCGUACGUGCCGUGUUGUUAGGUAUCUCCUGCAGGAUGAAAAUCGGUCCGGAUCACCGCACUUCUCGGUUACGAAUACCUCUUGAUCACUGUGCCGCAUCGUUAGUAAAUAAGUGGAAUGAUAAUGAUGAUGUUGAUACAAGUUUCGAUACUUAUUGUUGAUUAAUACUAUAUCAUGCUUACUCUAGCUUACUCAUGCAAACCUAGAUGGUAUUUAUUACAUGUUAACCCUGAGCCAAAAUAUUGAAAGUAAGGAUGCACUUGUAGUAAGCUCUUUUUGGCAAAAGAAACCCAGCAAACCAAAUAGCCUUGCAUAUUAGGAGUCGGGUAAGUAUAUACCAUAGUUGAGUAAGACUUACUGAGUAUUAAUAUACUCAGGGUUGUUGUUGUGACCGUAUUUCAGGUGGAGUUGCUUUGCUUUGAUGGCACAUUGGUGGGCUCGAUGUGUGUCGGGGAUAGAUCCCUAAUACUGCAAGGAAGAAAGAAGACGGACUCCCACUAGGAUUUUCCUGUAAUCAUACUAGGACUCAUACCCUGUAAUCCUACUAGGACUCAUACCUUGUAACCGACUAGCAAUCCCACCCCUGAGUAUAUAAAGGAGGGCAGGAGUCCCUAGAUCGGUAGGCCAAGACCUCAUAGAACCACAACAGAGGACCAAAAUCCUCAACACCAAACAACACCCCAAAUAGGACGUAGGGUAUUACGCUACUUUGUGGGUCCGAACCUGUAUAAAUCCGUGUCUUGUGUCCUCGCUUUUACCUUCGAGUUCUAGGUCCAGCGAUCCCCCUCCAACCAAUCUACUACCUCAGGAUACCCCUUGGUAGGUUGCCGGGUAUAAAACACCGACAAUGUGUUGUCC